AUCUCCCUACGCUUUUCCCCUUUCCCCUUUUCCCGGGACGUGGGCCCGUGGGUCCCCCGUCCCCUUCGUCACGGAAUCGGGCCUAACACCCGUAAACCGUUGACAAAGGCCCAACUCUGAAGUUACAUAGAAAUUACUGCUAAGCAUGUUAACAAAAGAAUGCUCUAUGAGUUACUGACUUAUAAAUAAUUACAGAUUUUUAUACUGUUGGAAAUGGAGUUCUGGUGCAUCUGGAGGUUCUUCAGUUCUGCUGUCAUUUGACAGGAUUUUUAAAUUGAAAAUAAUGCUGAUAAAUAUAAAAUCAAACCUGUAGUUUAAGUGGAAAGAAAGGUUAUAGCCAUAGGGCUCAAGUGUAGUGUUUUAUUAAAUAAACAGUUGUGUACAUUUAGAUACUUACAAUUGGUUAAUGCAGCAUAUUACUUGCCUACAGGUUAAACAUACAGAGAAUAUAAGAAAAGUAACUGCACAACAUCAAACCUUUUGAAAUGAAAUGACUUCAUUUGAAAUAGAUAUCUAUUAUAGAAAAUUUUCUGAAAGAUUGACAUGUAGAAGUAAUAUCACUUUUAAGUCUAAAAAUAUAUCACUCUGAGUUAUGAAAGAGACUAUUUCAUUCUCCUCCAAAUGUCUUCUUUUUCUUUAACAGACCUGCAGUAAACGUGAUAAGGGUAAAAUGUUUUCCUCCCACAAGUUCAUCUGUUAAUAUCCCUAUUAUUUUCAUGGUGCUGACCACUGUGAAGAUCCAAGGCAGUCACUAAAAUAGGAGAUGCUUGGACUUUGUCAUGGGCUGUCAUGGAUUGCCAAGGCAGAAGUUUUGGGCUGUUUUGCAUCCUCCUGGAAUGUCACUUUGCUUGACCUCUGGGCUGGACUACUAUGUGGUGCAGGGCCUAGCCAGCAGCUUUGGGGUUUACCUAUGGGGAGCAGUGUUCAUGGUGGAAAUUGUCAUUGCUACCUUUUUGUUGUUGCUGCUGGUGGUUUUUCUAGGACUGAAGGAUAGAACAGAAAGGAAGGUGAGGUAUUCAUAUACAUAGGUGUACAUAUAUAUAUAUAUACACACGCAUAUGUAAAUAUAAAAUGCUCUCAAAAGGGAAAAGGAUGGGUCUUUAAAGUCAGGUGCAGUAUUUCAGCCACAAAAUUCACCUGUAAUCUUGCUAAUUCACAUAAUCUUGGCUAUCUUGAAGCCCUAUCUGUAAAAUGUGAUAAAGCAUGUCCUGCCUCACUGGAACAACACAUGGGUAAAACUCAUUCAUAUGAUGGAUUCAAGAAUUGAUAUUGCAUUGAUGUGAAAUACAGAAAUACAUGUAGAAAGAGUCCCAUUGCUUUCAAGAGUGCUUGCUCUAUAUUCUAAACCUUUGUGAAGAAGGAAAACUGCUUGAAGGAGUUGCUUUAGUGCAAAUGGAAAAUCAUUUACUGGAUGAUGGAAGAAGGUUAAAGAAAAUUAAUUUAAGCUUGUGUACUUUGUUAGGCUUUCCAGUAGAUGGUUUUCUUUAAAAUAUUACAAGCAUGCUCUUACCUUCUCCUUGCAAGUCUCAAAUAGUGACACAGGACUAGAAGAUGGGAGAAAGAAAUAUGUCUUCCUGCAGCAAGGCAUCUUUAGUUAUAGCAUUGGAUAUUUCAUGGCCUGUAAUUUCUGAAAUGCGGGGCAGAACCAUUGAUGUUUUUUUUUUUUUCCUUUAAAAUCCCAGGAGUCUGUUGUCUAUGCCUUGGGAAAGUUUUUGUCAGUGCAAAGCUCAGCAUAGGUUUGAGCCCUCUGUAUCUUUCUGAAAGCAAGAGAGUUUGUUUUUAGUGAGUUCUAGAGCUGUGUACUGUCCUGUACUGCCAUAUGUGAAAGCUGGCUGUGUGGCUGGUAAUGUGAUACUCGUGUAAAGGUACUCAGUUACUGGUGCAAGGGAGAAAAACAAGGUCAGCGGUCCUGUCACUGCCACAGAAGGUCAGCUUUAUUUACGGGAACAGCAGCAGGCUUCUUCAGCUGACUUAUGUUAACCAACUUUUCAAUCUUUUCCUUAGAGAAUAGGACUAUUUAAAACUUCAACAGAUAUCUGCAUUCAAAGAAGACAACGAACUUUUUAUUGCAUAACUUAAAGAUAUCACUGAUCUUCCUCCCUCCCCCACACCGACAGAGCUGUCAAAUUGAAAACAUUUGCAGUGUGGAGAACAAGCCUACUCCUUUCAAAUCUCGUCAAAAUUAAUUUGAGAACACUUCUAGAGGGAGAGAAUUGCUGCAGAGAAACAGCUGCAGCAUGCUUGCUCAUGCUUUCUUCUGGGGGGCUCACAAUACUGUCCAAGCGUAGAUCUCUGAAAGGUAUUAAUUAAAAGUAAAAUUCAGCACAGCUGAUUGCAAAAUAAUUCUUGGUUAGGCUGUUUUAUGUGGUCAGUUGACAGAGGUAAGCAGGUUUGCAAGGGAGGUUGCUUUACUUUUGGCGAGGAGUCUUCAAGUCUUCAUAGUAUGUGUGUCCUCAAAGAACAGCCAAGUUAUAAUAAAAGUUUCAGUCAUUAGAACGGAACUGUUGAAGGACAAAUGUUCAGCUAUGUUGGCCGAUAGGUUACAUAUUCAUAAUAUAACUCCCUUGCACAAGUUCCUCUGAAGUUCUCAGGCAAGGGUUCAGGGGAACCUCAGAGACCAAGGAAAGGAAUAGUGAUAAUGUUAAUCUAAAUUAAAUUGCAAAAUUGAGUAUUCUGGACUUUCUGCAUCUCAGUUUAGGUACCAGCCUGUGUCCUAGCUCAUCUAAGGUUAGCCUUGCUCUAAAUUUCUUUCUAGGGCAGAUUUUUCAUUCACAUGUGCAGCAUACAGAAAUUCAUUUGUUGUGUUUGUGCUGUUGCAGUGAUACUCUUCAGGCAGAGAGAGUUAGUUGUCCAACAUUGGAUAGAAUGAGCCUUGGCUGAAAUGUUUGAUGAUUCUCCUUGUCCCCUUCUAAUGGGAUCACCAGCCAAGAGAAAAUAUGUUCCCCAUUAUAUUAAUGAGCUAGCAACAGCACAGUGCUUGCAGCUUCUCUUGCUGUCUUGUGAUGAUUUUCUGUAGGUUGUCUGAUCAAGAACGGCUGUGAGCUGUGCAGCCAGCAAUGCUCAAGAACAAUAUAUUGUAGAGACAAAAGAUUUUAUGUUUCAAAGUACACCCUUGUUAAUUCAUACUAUGUAUGGUGUGAGUGAAAACUCACUUCUAAGCUCACAGCAGUUUGAUUUCAUCUUAAAAGAGGAUGGCAGCAUGGGUUUGGAUGGGGAUAUCUAGAAGUAGCCAUUUGUCAUAAGAGAUCUAUCUUCUGUGAAUUAGGUUGUGAUAUCUCCGAGAUAUAAUCUUCACUUUUGGUCACUACUGUGCUUCUGUUUUUUUUUCUUUAGUACUAACUGCUGGAUUAACAUCUAAAAAUUUAAGGCAUAUUCACAUGGCUCCACAGAAAUGUCAAACUCUGCCAACAACUGAGUGUAUAGCACAGCAAUUCUGUAGUUUCCAAAGCCUUGCUUAUGGUUAGGACACUAUCUGCAGCUCAGCACUGACCUGGAACAAAUUCUCCAGCAUGAGAAGAAAAGAAUGGUGCCCAAAUGCCUUCCUAAUGAGAGCAAAACAGAGGGAACCUGAGAUAAAUUCAGAACCUGAACUACAAAUCAGGAGAGCCAAUGGGGAAAGUGAAGCAAUGGGAACUUGGCAAGAGGUGGCAGAAACCUUCCCCCACUGCAUUUGCUACACAAAGCUGUUGAAAUUUGCUCCCUUUCUGGUGAUAAUACAGCAGCCUUUUUAAUGAUGAUUGCUGCAGAUAAUGUGGCAGCUGUAAUGAAACAUGACCCAGGCAGUGAACCAGAGAGAGCUUCAGACUUGCGGGAGACUAGGAGAAAAAGGAUAAGCACCAGACAUGACUGAGAGGAUAAGUGGCCAGCUGAAAAGAGCUGAAGGACAUCCAGUAAUGAGACAGGUAGAAAUUUGUAAAGCAAAAUGGAAGUAUGGGCCUUAAAACAUUUUAAGAAAUUGUUUUUAAGGAAACUACCUGGGCCCCUAGGAAUUCUUGUGGACUAGAGUGUUCGAUAUCAAUUAUUUCAGAAAUAGUGUAGUAUGUUAAGACACGAGUCACCAGUGAAUUUUGAAAUAAUGGGGUUUUGUCAAUUAAUUAACAUUUUGGGGGGAGGAAACAAUAGUCUUUUCUAGUAAGGUAGAAGACUGAUACUCUCUGGCACAUUGGACAAGGUUCUUUGUCCCUUUUCCACUGCCAUCCCAACAAUGUCAGAGCUCCUUGCUAACCAGAAUGUAGUUUUUGUCACCAUGUCACUGUUACAUAGGAAACUGGAGGCAUCAUUGCACAGAAAAAUUGUAAGAGGACUGAGAAGUUGCUUGAAGCUUUAGGAUCUGUUUUAGAUGCUGCUUUUUAGGAGUGUUUGUGCUUCAGUCUUUCUUACUAUGUACAAAAUGGAGUGAACGUGCUCCAGCAUGUUACAAGGUGGUAGAGAAUUUUACUACAUUAAUAUAUAUGUACGUGUCAAAACUGAACGAGUCAUAAAAUAUUCUGUUUGGUUUGCUAAAUACUGCAUUCAUUUAAACAUCAUUAGAAACAUGGAUAUGAUGUCACAGCACUUUUUUUUUUAUAGCAGAAUAUGGAUUUCACUUCUACUAUUCCAAGUACCUUCAGAUCUUGCAUGCUGUAUUUAUUUUCAGAUGUACAUUCAAUUCACUUCUCCUAUCCUGGGAAGCUCUGAGGAGUGGCAAGACUUUGAGACAGAUGUAAAAUGAAGAUGUUUAGUAGUUCUCAGGACUGGACACAGAGAAUAUCCAAGGUGGCAUACUUGAAGUCAAAGACAAUUUAUUAUGACUAUUAGACUAUUGUUUUUGUUUGUUUGUUUGUUGCUUACUGUAUGGAAUGAGUUUUAGUGAUAUAGUCUGCAUUCAAGUUGGAGGAAGGGAUUGUGGGGUUAAAGUGUAGCUAGCAUACGUAACCUUUGUCUGAUGAACUUCAUUGGGAGUUGCUGUGACGUGGAACUCGCCCUUCUACUCAAUCCAAAUGCUAGUCAUCAUUUCCAUAGUGUGUAAAUGUAAAUCUCAAUGAUGACAUUUCAUUCCUGCCUUAUCCCAGCUCACGUUACUGCUUUGGGAAUAUCUAUUGUAACUCUUAUCCUUCCGCACACAGUGCUGUCGUCACCACUGCUGUAGCUAAUCCACUACUAUUUGGCAAGAAAACUGUUUAUCCCUUCUGCAUUAGGACAGAUAGCUGAAGUAAAAGCUGGAGGAGGAGGCAACCAGCGCAGCACAUUGCGUUUGUUCUGCAGCGCAUUAACAUGCUCACUGAGCAAACAAGGAGAAGCAGACCAAGUGAUUCAGUCACUAGAGUAAUUUUGUCGUGGGGUUUGGUGACAUACUCCCAGAUAUGCUACAAGGUUAUGGUGAGCAGUCAGAAAACACUAAAUACUGUAUUUGUGUAGACUUCUGAACUAUGCUGCCUUUUCUAUACCUUGGCCUGUGGAGAAUCACUCGUAUUAGUAACGCUGAGCUACUUAAAUCACUGUCUGAAAUGAAGAAUGUUGAUGGCUCGGAGUCUCCAUUUCCUCCUUUUCUUGCUGCCUUUGUUUUCACUGCUGGUGGCUUGGACAGCAGCCUUUUCUGCCACCACGAGCGCCAGCGUUGUGUAGCAAGAGAAACACGUCAAGAGCCUUCAUCUGAGAAACAGAUGCAAUCAGUAUUCACCCCACACCCUUACUUUUUUAGCGUUCUUUGCGCUCUACAUUUUUUAGAGUUUAUUUCAUUAACUUUUCAUGCUAGGAAAGAAAACGAAGCAAAACAAAAACCAGUUGUUUUACACAUAUGUAGGAAAAAGAGAGAAAAGAAAAUCAGCAAGACAAACGAUCUUCAAAAUCUUAAUUUUCAAUUAAUCUGAAUCAAAAUCUCUUAAAAGCUUAAUUAGAAAUUCCAAAAGAAUGAACUAAAGUUUGUCAAAACUCAAAUUCACUUCCUUGAAGACAUCACUGCCAUUUGAUUCUCCUCAACUAAAGGUUAGUAACCAUAUUCUACUGCAAGUUCUUGCUCUGAUUUGUCCACUUACCUUUCCCAAUAAAUUAUAUAUUUUUAAGUUUUAUUUGCAAUUUGCCUUAUCUGUGUUCAAUACUUGUGCACUCGUCAUCUUUUGGAAGAAGUUUUCCCCUAGAUUGGGCCGUGUCUCUUUUGUCCACCCCGCCCUCUGAAGAGAACCAUCUUUUCUCCUCUGCCUCCAGGCAGCUCCCUGUUUCUGCACCAUUUCCCUUUCUAUGCAUGCGUUUUUUUGUUGUUCAACAUGAGCAAGCAAAGGGAAGAAAACCCAAAAACUAAAACGACACCAAACCUUUUCGUGGUGAAAGCACUGCUUAAAUUUGAAUCUUAGGAGUAAAUAGCCCUGCAGCUUUAAUUCUGCCACCUUGUCCAUGUGCUUGACAAUAACCUUCGUAUGCCUGUGCACCCGCGCUGCUUUCAUUGCCCCCCUCUCAGGACCCCCGUCCUGCCCUGUCCGUCCCCGUGCAUGCUGCUCUGCCUGCGCAGGAGCCCUUUGCUCCGCCCUGCUGCAGCGGUGCCGGCAUGCAGCAGCCCCGGGGAGCCCUGGGAGAGAGCAGGCAGUGACCAGCUGCAUCCAGGAGGCGCUGAAAGAAGCUGAACAGCAGGAGGAUGCUACGUUUGGCAGUGGGAAAGCUUUGUUUCUAGGGUAUUUUGUUUGUUUGUCUCUUUUUGUUUUUGUUGUUAAGUCUGACAAGGAAAACUGAAACAGUGAUCCUUCUGGGGAGAAACACAGUUCUUAUUUUUCACUUACAGUGGACUGUGCCUAGUUUUCCCUGUUACUGAUUGGGAAUGAUGCAGAGAAACACGCUUAGUCAGAGGUUGUGUCUAGAGAUCUUACUAAAAAAUGAGCUUAAUGUGGUCAACAGAUGGUGAUUUACUACAGAUCCUAACUCGAUCCUUUCUGAAUGAAUAUUUGUAGUGACUGCAAGUGACUGUGGACCUAACAAGAGUUCCCUGCUAGAUUCGUGUUUCUGAAGCAAGUCCUGUUGGAACGUUUUCUUCUAGAAGAAGUAUCACCUUUUUCAAAUCAUGGAAAAUGAAAGGCAUGGUUAAGAUAAACUUAAAAAUUUUAAGUAAUAUCUCAGAUUUUCAUUAAGAUUAAAUAAGAGUAUUAGGUUAAUCUCAGCUCUCAGAACUUGUCUGUGACCACUGUAUGUUUUAUAUAGUCUUGUAUUUAUUAACAUUCAGCUUGCGCGAUACAAAAAUGGAAUGAAUUAUACUGUUAAUUCUUUUUUCCGAUAGCAAAUAUUUCCAUGCUCUGUCACCUUAUUUAUGGAACUACUUGUUCUCUUACAUUUUCAACACUCCAAUAUAUUUAAAAUAUAUUUUUUUAAAAACCUUAUUAUUAAGUCUUAUUACUCCUAUCUUCAUUAUUCCCUUACACGUCUCAAAUACCAUCAUUACAUUCCUUUGAUUUUUCUUUUUAGAAGUAACAAUGCCGUAGUUUUAUGCUCACUGUAAUUUUUAGAGCUCCCUUUUUACUUGCAAUUAACUUAAGCAGCUUGUCACUCAGACUUACUGGUUUUGAAAUUCUGUACUUAAUUUUGCAUAAUGGUACACACUCCCCCUGAGCCACCCUCAUCAUGUCUUUAAAGUUUAGCCGAAUUUCAAUAACUUAUCAGCAUAUCACUAAUAAGCCUUGUGAGUUUGUUUCACUUGUAUUUCUCAGAUUACAGAGUUUAUAUUAUUUAUGUUUCUAGCUGAACUCCUUUCAAGUGUUGAAACUAAGAACGAUAUUAAAUGGCAAAGUCCAAUCCUCAAGCAGACCCUUACUCUAACUUCACCUCUGUUAAGCAAAACAUUUCUAAAAUUCUCCUUUGCUUUAUGUUGUCUCCAGCUCAGACUGCUGUGAAAGCAGAGCUUCUACAGGACUUGAAGAAGUGUGAAGUUUGAAUACUUUGUUCUUCUGAGAUAAAUUUCAGUUAUCUAAUUGUGUUAUUUCUAACCUCACAACAGUUACUGCUGAGGCUGCUUCCUUCAUUCAAGAACUCUUUUAAACACUUCCCCUGAAGAAAUUUGGAGGCUGAACUGCAACAGCAUGAGUCCACUCUGAAUGUGGCUGCAUAAGUCAAAAACAGCUGAAGUUCAAGUCACUGGCUCAAAAUGUACUCCUCUGCUCCUUCUGUCAAAUUCCAAAACCAGCUUAGCUUCUGUUAAACAAGAUAGAUUUGGAGGUUUUCUUUGCCAGUUGGGUCUAUGCAGAAUCAGCCUGAACUCUCUUCAGACAUUCACUUUAUGAUCAUAUUAUCACAUUUCAGCUUCUCUCUAAAUCCUCUAGAUUUUCCUGAAUGAUACUUCAAUAAUAUUGGUAUUUGUGACAGUCAGGGCGUGUUGAGGAGGUUUCGUCAUCUCAUGCCUAUUUUUUUGUUCCGAAGUUCUUACAACAGGUGUUGGUCUCAAGAUUAAGUCUGAAGAAACUCCAUUAAACCUUCUCUGACUUGGAGUACAAUUUUCACAAUAUCUCCUUUAGCUAACUUGCAGCUACUUCACUUUUUCUUUUUUUCUAAGUGCAGAUGCUAUAUGUUGUUCCCCAGUGAUAUAGAACAGAAUAGUUCAGUUAGAAGAGAUCUACAGUGAUCAUCUCUUACAACUGUCUGACCACUUCAGGUCUGACCAAAAGUUAAACUGUAUAUUACUAAGGGCAUUAUCCAAAUGCCUCUUGAACUCUGAUAGGUAUGGAGCAUCAACUACCUCACAAGGAAACCUGUUCCAGUGUUUGACAACUGUAGGACCAUCUCUCUCUUCAAAUGGCAUUUUAGAGGAAAUAAAAAAUAACAAAUUGUAUUAAAAGUUUGUCAUCCUGGAUUUGCAAUUUCCUGAGUCAGGUGUUUUAGUGUUCUGCGGUGGAAAUUCUCCAGCCCUUACUUAAAAAAGUGAAGCGAGCACGCUCAGGUUUCUUUCCAUCUCAGAGGUGGCGUUUUCUGUUUUCUGUUCCUUUAAUUUUUAUGUGUAAUAGCAGUGUUCAGUUUAGAACCACAUUGCAUUUAAGCAUCUAGUUUGUCUGUAAAAUUGCACAGGCUAUAUUUCUUCCUAUUUUAAGCAAGGGGAGACAUUAUCUCCUGAUGGAAAAAAAAAAAGAAAUAUGUAUACUUUAUCACCCUGACUGAUGAUAGUAGAACUACCUAUACUAGACCUUGUGAUAUUUCCUAUGGAAUAUGAUAGUAAACGUAAUAUUUUCUUUCUUUUUCUUUUUAGUUCUCCUGGAGAAAUUGAGGGACUCAACAUAGUGGUGUUUAACUUUUGCCCAAGAGCAUAUUCAAGUUUUUGUCACUAAUUCACUGCUGUUAAUGUACAACAUUAAAGUGUGAUUGCUUUGACGCAUUUAUAGGUAGGAAAGUGAAAACCUUUCAGAAAUAAAGCUGACUCCGUGCAUUUGGAAAGUAGCAAAAUUGUUUCUCAUUCAUUUACCUCCUCAGAAUGAAUUGCAUUCAGACUUUUUUCUGGUGAUUUUUUUUUUCCUCUGUUCCUCUUUGGUGUAAGAUUUACCAGUGAUACGUAGUUGAUGGACAAGAUUUUGGAUCAAAAGAUCCAGAUCAUUCCUUUGGUCAGAUUCUCCAAUGGUCUUUGACUAUGAUCACUUGGAUUUCAGUGGGACUAAGUAUUCAAUGAGAGCACAAAGAUGAUGUGUUCAGGGCUAUCUGUGCUGCUAAACAGGCUAUCACUUCUGCUGGUGCCAGACAGAGUUUUUCAGUGUGUGUUUUUACUUUCAGAUAUGAAUUACAAUUAACAAUUUAGUUCUGCUUUGUAAAGCUUUCCCUUUUGCUGUGUAAUUUUAACUUUCACCCAGCUGUUAAGACCCUCUGUGAUAAUAAAUAUAUAUAGCUCUAUUAUAAUGGAGGAAUUACUGCUUUCACUGAGCCACCUUUUGCAAGUUAGCUUUUUCUUUUUUUUCUUUAAUCUGGUAAUCCACUCCUUUUGCUGUGACAAUACUGGACACUUACAGAACUGCUACAUGUUCAUGUGCUCUACAUGGCCUGUGGUUAGUGCCAUUCUCACGUGCAAAAGCAGCAUAAGAGCCAAGAAUGCAUGUAAAUUGUAUGCGGAUGUAACUCUUCUGGCUGACUUCUCAACAUGCAUGGGAACUCCCAUCAUUUCUGAAAAGGCUUCUCUUUGGUACUGAUUACACUCAUGUAAAUAAGGUUAAUGACUCAGUUUCUGUGGUAAUUUUUCAAUACAUACAUACUUACAUAAAGCACGCUAAUGACUGCAGCCCAAUCCAGCUUUAUUUAACAUUUAAGGACUGAAAUGUGUUUUACUGUCACUUUCUCUUUGCCUAAUGCAGUAAUUGUUCAAUUAAGUCAUUUUUAAAAUACGCAAUGACCACAUUUGAGUUCAAGUACCAGUUUUGUCAGACUUUAAAUCCUAACAAAGGGAAGCAACGUCUGCUCUGUGGGUGGAAAGCUAGUACCUAAAGUAGUUCUUCUGCAAGUUCAAGGAAUUGAGCAAGGUGAAAGCACAUAAUUCUCAAAGUGCUCUGAUAUGGGAAUUUCUGAGGAAGACUGCUUCUCUGAGGAAACUGCUGCUUGACUUUCUGCUGCAAGUACAAGGUUGUGUGUUUCCUAUUUUUUUUCUGCAUCUACGUAUAAACAACUUGAGAAAUGACAGAUUUUACUUCUGUGCUGUCUGACUAGUGAUUCAUAUAUCUCUCCUGUAAAAUUAAUUAAUGUGGUGAAGGGAGUCUCCUGUUGUUGAGGGAUAUACUUGGGAAGCAGGCUAAUGACCACUUACCCAUUUGCCAUCAUCCAAAGGCUUCUAACUACAGAGAGGGAUCUACAGAGUCAUUUAAGAGCAACACCAUGUAUUUGAUAAUACUGUUUUGAGUCGCAAGGGCAUCACUGAAGCAGACUUUCUGUUUUCUUUUUCUCUGCAACUACAGUAACUAGAAAUUAUUAUUAUUUUAUGAUUGUUCAGAUUCUUACACAAUCACCAGACUCAUCGGAUUCUGUGAACUGAUGCUUGAAGAUAAAGUUAUUGUGACAGCUGGAAUAAAAAUACAGCACUGUGUAUCAGUAGGUUGAGAGAAAGGAUUUAAAACUUAUUCCUAAUAAGAUGUUAAAGGCAGACGUACAGCUUAUUGUCCUCAGCAAAGAAAAAUGACAUUCCAGUUGUGGUGCUUUUAGAUUGUUAUAUCCUUUUAAUCUGUUUCGGCUUGUAACUUUUCUUUGGCCGUCAGAUGAGAGUUAGGCAAAAGAGAAAUUACUUUAAAAUGUUUAAGGCUUUUUUUUAAAUGGUAUUAGAUAACAUAGCACAAUGUUUUUCCAGCACUUUUUUGUAGCAUGAUUGCAUUUUCUAAGGGCAAUAUACAACCUUGCAUAGUGACUUUAAAGUCCUUGACACUGGACUUGCUCCCCGCCCCCCCUUUGCCAGACCUCUAGCACUUUCCCCGUGCAAUCCCAUGAACAUAGUUCAUGUCCCUCUGAGGCCAUGGAGUGAUGGAUUCUAUUCCUGUUGCUUGUCUAUUCUCUUGCCUUUUUUUUCUGUUAUUCAGAGGCCUAUGUUCAGAGGACUUAGGAAGUCUAUGUUAUUUCUAGCAUCAAUGGGCUUAAGGGACAAAGAGUGCAUCAGGAUCAACUUUCCCACAACUGAGAGGAGGUUAGUGGAGUCCAUGCACUGCAGUGCUCUGACGGUGCCACAAGCAAACCUGAGCUCCCAUGAGACUGGGCCUUUUUUGCAUGGUGGUAAAUUUAUGGGGAAUAUCCUGAUAUGGGAAGGCACAUCACAAAGAGAGGAAAGGCACCUGGAAAGGAAAAGUCUACCAAGGACAGUGGAGGUAGCAGUGUUAAGUGCCAGCCUGAGGAGAUGCUCAGUAAAAUCCAUAAUGAAUUUGGACUAAAAGUUGCUAAUUACUGUGAAAGUUGUUGAAUUCCCUGAAAGAAUAGCAAAGGGGGGGAAUUUAGAUCAGAGUAUGUUUGGAGCUGCCUCAUUUCUAAUGCACUGGAUGGCAAGCAAAACCUGUGUUUAACCUCCAAACAUGUUAAAAAUCUCCUAGUUUGUAGAAAAGAGGGAAAGUGUCCAGAAUUGAUUAGGCUCAUUUAUAUAGAAACAAAAAAACUGUUUUAGAAGCUACAGGUCACCACCAGAAAUUGUUCUUCAGAAGUUCAGUGGUGUUUGUAAGAAGUAUUUAGCUGUUGAGUGUCCUAUCUUGUAACUGUUCUAUCUCUGAUUCAGAUCAGCUGUUGUACUCUCUUUCCUGGGAGCCUCUGGACCUUUUUUCUUGUUUAUGUCCAUUUUGAGUACUGAUUUUGCAUCACAGUUUAACUAUGCAGAAAUAAAAACGUCUGUGACCACAGGAACAUCAUUUGGUACUCUUUAUCUAACUCCACAGAUUAUAAUCAUCUAAUGAAGAGAUACACAUUCUUCAAAAAUUCCAGAUGCUGAUAAUUUUAUCUACUCUUCCUUAUAACACAUUAAAAAAAAAAAUUGUCUCCGAUGUUUGCAAAAUGAUUACUUACCAUGGCACUUCACUUUAUUUUUUCUGGGAUACAGCAUCUAUUGUAUACUAGCCUUCUUUCAUCAAAGUUAAGGAUGCUAUGUAUAUCUAUGUAAAGUAAAGGACUGGUUCUAAACAGUGUAUUUUGCAGUUAGAUUAAAGGAAAUGAACUUGAACCUGCAAGGCGACAGCAUGCGGGACCUGUCAUGGUAUUAAGCCUUUCUGAAAACAUAUAAAUAAAGUAAAAAUUUACAAAGAACUUUCCGUUCUGUUUGAGACUGAAAGAAAGCAAAUAGGUAUUUCUGUAUUUUUUUCUCCUAUUGCAGAUUUAGCAGCAUUUAUAAGACUGAUUUCAGUGUGCAGAGGUUCACCAUUAAAUUAUUUAAAAUAUUUGGAUACAAUUUAGAAAAAAAGUAUUUAAACAAAAGAACUUGCUAUUUUUGUGAAUACCCUUAUUACAAAAAUUGAACUAUUUAAAACAAAUAUUUAUAAUGUGAUGCACGACUGUUACAGAUCAUUACUACUUUGUUUUAAAUUCUUCAGUCUCUUCAAAGCUAGAUGUUUAUCUAAGUAGUCCACUUUUUGAUGUACAUGAUGUGAGGAUGUAUUCCAUUCUUUAGAAUUUGCUGUCAUAAUUUCAAGAAGGGUUUUUAUUCUCUUGCUUUUGUUCUCUGUAAUGCUUGUUACCAUGAAAGAAGAGAGAGAAAGAAUUUCAUAUGGAAGCACUAGUUAAAAUGUGAGUUACAUAAAUGAUUAUGCUUUCCAACCAUGGUUCCGUCUGCCACGGAUAUUGGUAGCAAAACUUCUUGUGGCUUUAGAAGCAUGUAUAAAUUGUUGGCAUAUGCAAUUACAUUGGCUUUGUAGUCUCUUAAAAGAUCGCACCGUAUUUAUAUGUGCAAAAGAAAAAUGUUGAUGGAGACAAAUCACUUUCCUAAUACAGGAAAGUGUUCUUUCUGUGUUCUAAUACAGUUUAUACACCUUUCAUGAAGCCUGUUUUAUAUUCUUCCUGAGUCAUGACUUUGCUAAAAGUGUAAUAGUAGUGUAUAAACUUCAAUCUAACAGAUUUUUGUUUCCCAGCCCUGUCUCUCUUCCUCCAUCCAUUCUUCAGUCUGUAGACUGAAUCUGUAAAGCUGACUAUUUAUGUAAAAGACCUGCUGAGAAACUCUGUGCCUGCUUCUGCUUCAGUACCGCUUAGCCAGAUUUCAAAGAACUUAAUUUGUCCCUUUAGACAAAUAGCUUUGAAAAUCUAUGCUCAAAAUUAAGUGAGACUAUAAGUGUUACUGAGAUGUGGAGAGUUGGAUUAGGCUAUGCGAUUUGCUUCUGGAGAACAAAAUGAGGAGGAUGGAUGGUAGCAAAGAAACGUCAGUUUAGAAUUGCAGAAUCACAGAAUGGUUUGGAUUGGAAGGGACCUCAAAGGUCAUCUGUUUCCAGCCCCCCCUGCUGUGGGGAGGGUUGCCACCUGCUAGGUCAGGUUGCCCAGGCCCGAUCCAAUGUGGCCUUGAACACCACUGGGGAUGAGGCAUGCCUCUUUUAAUGCAACCCAGGAUACAGUUGACCUUCUAGGCUGUAAGCAUUUGCUACUGGCUCCUGUCCAGCUUUUCGUCCAUAGAACCCCCAAGUCCUCCUCCACAGAGCUGCUCUCAAUUAGUUCUUCUCCCCAUCUGCACCCAUAUCUGGGAUUGCCCCUAUCCAAGUGCAGCAACCUUGCACUUGGCCUUGUUGAACCUUAUUCUAUUCACAUGGGCCUACUUUUAGGAAUUGUCCGGGUUCCUUUGGAUGAUAUGACUUUCUUCUGUUGUAUCAGCUGCACUAUUCAGCUUGGUGUUGUCUGCAAAUUUGCUGAGGAUGUACUUGAUCUCUCUGUCUGUGUCACUGAUAGAGAUUUAAAAGAAUACCAGUCCCAAGAUGGUACUCUUGGGACCCCAAGAGGUCUACUUGGCACCAGUCUCCACCUGGACGUAGAGCUGGUGACCGUAACUAUGGGUAUCCAGCCAAUUUCUGAUCCCCCAUUCUAGUUGCCUGUACUUGUAAAAGGGACAAACAUUUCAGUAAUUCUGUUUUAUAGUGGAAAAAAACAAUCUAUUUCUUAGUUAGGGGAGGGAGAAUUUCCUGCUGCUUUUCACACAUUGACUUCCUUCUCUCACUUUCCAAGAUUCACAUCUGUGAAAUGAACUUGCUUUCUUCCAAGUUCUUGUACUAAGACAACUUGAAAAUUGGGGUCAAAUUCUGAACUCAGUAACUUUCACUGGACGGGAAGAAAGGAGAUUGGAAAAUGAUCAAGACUAAAAGAGAAUUUCCUUUCUAUCUCUUUGCCUAAUGGAAGACUUAAAUUUUCUCCUGUAGGAGUUUAAAAUGUCAUAUCUCUUAUUUGUCAAACGUACUGUAAAGAGAUUACAAGACGAUGGUCUAGGCUAGAGGGUAUGCAAUCUCCCCUGUAGAUGCUGUACUAGUUAGACUGUGGGUGUCCCAGCUCCCAGGUGUGAGUGCUGUGCUGUGGUCGAUAUCUUGAGGUAUAUUUAAUGUUUUAGAACAGCUCUAGCAGGAGAGGUUUUGGAGAGUUCUUACAUGACUGAAGAUUUGGACAUUUUUCUUAAAGGGAAAAUAGAUGUAUUUGUAUCA